UCUGGACAUGCACGGUUGCACCUACCCAGCCGUGUUUUCCUCUGAAGCUUACACCUCACACAGAAGAUCGACACGUGUCCGAUACGUGUCGAUUCCACAGAGCAUCACAAAAUGUCAUAUAUGGACCAAAUAGCACAACCCCAACAAACCAGCAGCGAACCCAAAAUCAUCCAGAAACAUUAUCAGAGAGAGAGAGAUGGAGAAGAGUGGACAGCAGAUGAGGAAACUGGAGGCCGAACAGAACAAAGAUAAGCUAGAGGGCUUGCCGGUGGAGACCAGCCCGUACACACAGUACAAGGACAUGGAGGACUACAAGAGCCAGGGCUACGGCACCCAGGGCCACAAGGAGCCCAAGGCCGGCCGCGGCGGAGGCUCCACCGACGCCCCCACCAUCUCCGGCAGCGCCGGCCCCGAGACCAAGCUUUUCCCCACCGAUGUCAUCAACCGCCACGGCAUCCCUUAAAUGAGUGUAAUUAUUGUUCACCCACCUGACAACCUCGGUGAACUUAGGUGGCUGUGUAACGUUUAUUGUAGUAGAGCGUUAUUUUGUUCUCCUAUGAAAUGGGUCCUAAUUAAAAUAAGGGCCUAAAUGUUAUUGUUUUUCUUGUCUUCUUUUUUUUUUUCUGUUGCACAAUAACUUUGAUAGUUUGAUUUUGCCUAAUUAAGGUCUGAUCUAUUCAAGAAAUUGUCUUCUACUCUUCGGCUCCGCUCAACUACACGUGAAUGAAGUCGACAAGAGGGAAAGGGUUACGAUCUAGAUUGGGUAACUAUGGGCAAAAUACUUUGAUAUUGAAUAACAACAGGUGAGUGAAGACGAAAAGAGGGAAACGGUUACGGUCUAGAGUGGGUCAGAAGUGGCACUAAACAUUUGAAUAUAAGUUCGUUGUCUUUCUUAUCUUGGGAGCUUAUAUAUUUUAAAGGUGUUGUAGGUAGCAUUCUUCUAUAGUAAAAGAAAGGAAAAAUUAAAAAAAAAAAAACUAAGUUUGAUCGUGGGAUCAAAUUAAAUCAUAUAAUUCUAAUGCUAAUAAAUUUUAAUUUUAAUUUGAUAAUAAUUUAAAUGAUUAGUACUUUCGUCUAUGCUAAUGUCUAUGCUAAUGGCACCCAACUGUUUUUCGUCUAAAAUUCAUGAAAAUGAUUAAAACGAUUUUUUAUAAUGUUACUUCCAUUUUAAAGCCCUAGUUGAAUCUAGGGAUGGCGGGCGGGGUUGUCCCAAUCUCUUCUCGUUCCAUUUUAAAGCCCUAGUUGAAUCUAGGGAUGGCGGGCGGGGUUGUCCCAAGUCUCUCUCGUUCGAUUAAGAAACCAGUGUGGGUUAGGAUUGAAGCUCUUCUCCGUUGUAUUUAAUAUUUUUUUAAUUAAUAUAUUUUUUAUAAACGGUAUAAAAAUAUAUAUAAUAUAUAUAUAUAUAUAUAUAGAUAUCAUUCUCAGAGAGUAGGAUAUUAUGGUAUAAUUAACAAAUAGGGAUAAUUUUGUUUAUGUAAUAUAUCAGGGGCGGGUUCGGGUUUUAGUGGACUAAAUCCAAAUCCGAUCCCGAUUUGGGGACUCAAUUUAUCCCCAUAAUUCACUCUAAAUUCUUUUAUCCCUACUUUAAAUCCGGCCUAUUAGGGGAGGGGAGGGGACCCAAUUAUCGAGAAGAAAUUUGCCAUUCCUAGUAAGUCGAAUCAAUUAAUAAGAUACAAUCAGAGAGUUGGUUGUUAAUGUUAAAGUGACUAAAUUUUUAUGCCAUUAGGAAUGACAAUAGUCGAUGAAAUUUAAAAAGAAUUAAAAUAUAAUAUGACUUGGGUCAAUGCAUUUUGAACAAAACUAUGUUGUUUGUUAUCUUAGUUAGAUGGAGAGUACUACCAAAUGGACUUAUACAAAAUUAAAAUAACAAGAUUUGAUGUGUUUACAAUUGAACUUAUAGAUUUUUUUUUCAUAAUCAAAACUUUUCUAGAAUCAAACUUUGGUUUUUUACGCAACUCUCCACUAAAAAAACAGGAGAGACAACAGUAUAUGUGUGGGGGUGUAAGGUUUCAAAAUAUUUUAUUUAUGACAUCAUUAUGUCACGUGUGUAUAAGUAUAUGCGUUGUGGGUUUCGGGAUAAUUGAAUCCAUUUAAAUUUGUUGGGCCUAAGUGUAUUUGCAAUUGGGCUUGUGUGUGGAGUGUGAGGGAGUGGCCAAAUGGCUUUAGUUUAGAUUUGUUGCUUGGGCCAAACAACUCCAAGGCCCAAGGAAUGCAUUAGGUAUUCUUUUUUUGACCUAAACCCAUUAAUACCAAUUAAUUUGGGCAUUACUUAUCUUCGUCUGCCUUCUCUAUUCUCUAUAGGGUUGUGAGCAUUUGAGAUUAGAUCUACGUGAGUGAGGAGGUGUGAUCGAGUGGUAUCUUUGGAAGAAAGUUAUCUAUCGACGGGAGCUUGUUUUGAACCAAAAAGGGGGGGAAUUGGGAUCAGAGCAAAUUUGAAUUUGGGCAUCACCAUUGUUUGGAGUUUUCUUGAUUGCUUGGAUUUGAGAUAAAGGGGGUUAAUGUUGUUGGGAUUUACUUGCAUUUGUUGUCAUAGUUUUAAAAAUCUUCUUGAGGAUUAUUUGAGAUUGAACUUGAAAUGAAAAACUUGAUUUGUAAUGGAAAUUGUAAAUUUGGGAGGGAAUUGAUUGUCUAUUAUGAGAUAUGAACGUGUAUUGUCAUGUUAGUAGUUUAAUUUUUCGCAUUUGAUUCGUUCGCUUAAGUGGCUGGGUUUUGGUUUGAUCAGGGACGGACAGGGGGGGGGGGUUUUUUUUUUUUUUUUGUUGAGUGUUAGAAAUGAUGGAAAAAAAUAAAAAAAAUAAAUAUCUUUGAUGGUUUGGGGGGGCAUGACGAUUGACGGUGGCAGAGGGUAUUUGUAGUCUGUUGGACUGAGCUGCACACAAGAUAGGAUAAUGAGAAUGGCCGCCGAGUAUUCUGAAAAUGGCCUAUUCGAUGAUAAGUAAAGUAACCGAAAAGUGUUUAGAGAGGAAAAAAUGUUUAAGGAACUUUGAGUAGCUAAAAUCGAUACAUGAAAGAGUAACGUCUGGCGUUAUAUAGCACCAGUUCGGUGCGUGGCUGAACACGCCAAUCAUUAUGUCACUAGACAGACUACAGCUCAAGCACGUGUUACGCACUGAUUUGCCCGCAUAGUGAGUAUUCGGCUGACUCAUCCAUACCCCUAAAGGAUAAUUAGGUAGCUACAUGUUAUGUCGCAUGCAUUUCGAUCUAGCGCUGGCGUGUCAAGAAACUUAUCGUGCAAUCACCCUCAUGACCCUAACGUUCUAUGGGAUCUCCUACGGCCUGAGGCUCGACAAAUUACAACGCAAAGACCCCAUUGAUCUUGAUAUAAAACGACUAUUCGACAACGAUACGCCCUAAUCAGCCAAAGUUGAUAAUGUUGUUUUUUACCUAUUUAGAUUGAUAUGUACAAUAAUUAGCAUUUGCAUCAUAUGCUCAUAUAUUCAAUUUGCUUAUAUAUAUAUAUAUAUAUAUAUAUAAGAUAUAUAUAUAUAUAAUAUAUAUUCACAAGUCUUGAAUUAAAUUAAUGGGCAAUGGUGAUUCUUUUUUAUUUUAAAAUGGCAUACGUACAAAUGCAUAUGACUUUGUAUAAAUAUGACUAUAUAUAUAUAUAUAUAUAUAUAUAUAUAUUAUCACAAGUUUGAAUAAAUAAUGGGCAAUAGUGGAUUUCUUUUUUAUUUUAAAAUGGCAUACGACAAAAAUGCCCAUGGAAUUUGUACAAUAUGACUUCAGUUCCAAGAACUUUUUCGUCGUCUUAGCAUAUUAGUACCAACUGCCUUCGUAAGAAUUUUUGGAUCAAGGAUGCAAGGAAGUCUCCUGAUUGGCCAAUACCAUUAGAUUUUUAAUAGGAUUUUUUUCUUGUUCUCCUUUGGUUUUCGCUUUUUUUUGUGAUUGUUUUCAUUCUAAGUUUGUGAUAAUGAGUGAAAGUCAACAAGAACACAUCACCAUCCAUUCUGGAUUCGGACGACCCUGAGAAACCCUUUGCAAACCACAGGAAGAAGAAGAAACAAUAAUAUAUUUUUAUUCUUUCUUCUCUCUCCUUUAGUCAAAACAAAGCUCGUCUCUUGAUAUCUUUCAAACAAUAAACCCCAGAGUAAAUUAUAGUAUAUGAAAAUAAUACUUUCUCUCGUAUAACAAUAAGAUUCUACAUAUGAAAUUUUAUAGUGACACUCACCAUUCCAUUAGACAGGAGAAGCAUUACGCGAAAUUUUUUUCCUUGUCUAUGCAUUGACUUUGGUGACCUUCAAGGCUGGAAAGUAUAAUGGAAAAUACCACAUUCAUUUGGAGUGGUUGGCCCCAAGGCACUUUAACGCUAUGCCAUAUUAUUAAGUUGUUUUCGAGUUCUAAAUAAUAUGAUCAGAACUGUUCACGUUCUGGAACUCAACAAUUGAUCCUUUAAAAAAAAAAUCGAUCAGACAUCUGUAGCCAAUUACUAGUUGUAUUUGUUCAAAAAAAAAUGACCAACAUGAAUGAUUUGAUAAUAAACAUAACACAAUAGGAUCCAAUAUCCCAUCAACCUUAACUUUUAUACGGACCGAAUUAAUGUACUCGUGACUCUAGAAAAUAAAUAGUUCCUAUAAUAUUAUCAAAACCAACUAGAACCUCAACGCUGACCCCCCAAAUCACACACACAUAUAUACAAGAGGUUGUAAAGUCAAUAAUCAAAAAGAAAAACGUGACAGAUAACAAUUUUUAAUCUAAUAAUUUACAGAUAAAUAUGAAAUUUUUGUCCACAAUAUUUUUAGAGGCACAAGGAACGAGAUCCCACGAAAUAAUAGUCUUGGAGGGUCCACGAGGAAGAGGGUGCCCUCGGUUGAAAUGUUGUUAGAUUCUUUUGCCUUGCAAUAGGUAACUAUAUUAGUGCUGUUGGAUACCAUUGUGUUGAACUUUACAAAAAGUCUUAAUGAACUGGAGAAUGCACCGUAGGGUUUAGUGUCAAUACGCGGAAUAUGACAAAAUUGAUUAUAACUUUUAGUCUUGUGGUAUUACUGUUAGUACGGAUCCACAGGGACAACGAGAAAACAGUUUUAAGAAUAUCUUUAUUGGUUGUGGUCGUUCUUCGAAUUUAAUCGUAAUCGUCUAUUUUGGAUAACUCUUGACCUUUCUCACCCCCUUUUGAGUUAGUUUUUUUUUUUUAAAAAAAUAAAAUUUUUAAGUUUGUUUGAGCUAAGUUUAUUAUAGGAGUUUCACUCAGUAAAAUAUCCAAUUUUUUUAAUUAUCCCAAACAAAAUCCCAAUAUGUUUUUGUCCUACUUUCCUUUCAUAAUCGAAAAAAGAAAAAAAAAUAGUUUUUUGUCUAAGCUGGGCUCGUGGAACUGGGACAGACGCUGUCCCAGUGCCUAAAGGGCAACACUGUAAUAUGAAUGAGAUUGAUAAAUUACAAAAGAUUCCCUGAUAAUCUAUAAAUGCACAGUGUCGCAUUUUGGGCACUGGGAACAGGAAUCCGCUCUUCCACCCCACAAAUGGGGACCUAAUUUUCAAAUAUACUCCAUCAUAAUUUUUCAUAAAGUAAAGGGAUAAAAUAUUAAUUAAAACAUCUUGGCGGAUGGCUUUUCUGAUCGGAUUCUAGUUUUUACGACAAAUUGGGAUGGAAUGAGUAUUUCAUUUGCGGUAAAAACAACUAUUAUUUUCAUGGCUAGAUAAAAAAGCAUUGAAAAUGAGGUGGCAAUUUUUAAAAGCACAAAUUUGGCACAAAACUAGUUGACAAAAUUGAUUAAGAAAAAUAAAAGUCAAUAAAACAACUAUUGGGUGAUAGUGUAUUAAAUUUCAAACAAUGAAAAAAAAUUGUCAAACCUAUACAUGGAGAUAUUUAGAAAGGGAAAAUGGUAGCAUGAAUAGCAUCAGGGUUAGUCGUAUUGAAGGGGCUUGCGACUCGCGUGAGACAAGGAUGAAGAAAGAGUCAAGAAAUCAUCAAUGUCCUUUUUAAUUUUCAUUGUCCCUCUAGUACAAAAUUAAAAAUUCAAUAUUCAUAUGGGGUUAGAUUCUCUCUUCUUAAUUUGUUAUGUCAAUUUUAGUAUUUGGAUACUGUAAAACAUCUUCUAUUUUUACUUUUAUAUUAUUUUUGGAUGCAUUGGAAACUUGGUAUAUAAUAACUAAUUGAGAUAUUUUGAGUGGUGUAAAAAAUCUCAAAAAAUUAUUCACCAAAAUUUACGGCUAUGAUUUCAUUCUCAAAUUCAAUUGUUCAAUAAAAUCUGAUUGAAUCAUGCGGCUAUUUAUGUCCAUCAAAUUUAUUUUUUUUUAAAUGAUUUAGUAGACGAGACCUAAAGAAUAUAUGGUCUCUAAUUAUGGAUGUCCGGGGCGGUUCGGGUCGGAUUUUGGAGUCACCCGAUAUCCGAACGAAUUGGUAGGAUUGCAGAUAUUUGGGCCGAAUCCGAUUCCAAUAGAUGGUGGGUUGGGUCGGUUCGGGUGAAAUUUUGUUGGGCGAGGGGUCGGAUUGAGUGAAAAUUGUGAAUUUUAGUGUAAUAUUUUAUCGGGUGGUCAGUUGGGUUAGGCGAUGAAUGGCACGAAUACCCAAACCGAAUGUGGUUGUCUGGGUGAGUUAAAAUCCACCCGUAGAGGAGCGGGUUGCGUCGGUUCGGUUGAGUCGGUUCGGAUUGAUAGGGUUGACGGGUGGAUCGAUAUUUGCCAACCCUAGUUCCUAAUUACAAUAAUGCCGCUAUCUAGUUUUAUCUAGUGUUGUACCGGGUCGGUACGUACCGCGUCGAAUGAAUAAAUGGUACGCAUAACUCUUGUUUCCAUACUGCUUCAAAUACGACAUGCACCGCCAGAAUCUCACAAUUCAUCUAAGACAAAUUUCACUGAUAUUUUGUUUGUGUCACUACCAGGAAUAAUGACAAAAUUGAUUAUAACUUUAGUCUUGUCGUUUACUUUAGUACGGGCGCAUAGGAACAAUCAGAACACACGUUUUAGAGUAUCUUUAUUGGUUUGUGCUCUGUUCUCCCUGUUUAUUCGUCCAUUUUGGACAACUAAAUUUGUUAAUCCCCGUUGGAGUAGAUUUUUUGCUUAAAAAAAUGAAUUUUUAAGUUUUUGUUUGAGCCGACUCAGCCGGUUUAUAGGAGUUUAUCACUAAAAUAGUCUAAUUUUUUUAUUCCAUUUUACCUCUCUAAUGAACAGUAAAGGUAUAACACCUUUUAUCUAUCCAAUGGUGGCCUAACUUUCACGAUGCUCCAUCAUAAUUUUUCAAAAUUUCUCUUUAAUACAUUUAAAAUUACUUAAAAAAUAAAAUGUCACAAAAUUAAAAGUGAAAAGGAUAAAAUAGAAUUUUAAACCAUCUUGUUUGGUUGGCUUUUCUGAUGACUCGGGUUCGUUUGGACAACAACUUAGGAUGGAAUGGGUGUUUCAUUGGCGUGAAACUACUAUUAUUUUCUCUGGCUUAGAUAACAAGGCAACCAAAUUUAGCGUUAAAUUUAGCAGCAAAUUUUUUUUUUCUCCAAAAUUGAUCCAAACAAUAGUACACAAAAUCUUCUAGAUUUUUUAAUAAUCUUAUCGAAAAAUAUAGCUCGUUUUGUUCAAUUUGGGGAUAUCACUAAUCUUUAUAACCUUAUUGAAAAAUAAAAGAAAAAUAUGUAUUUAGGGUGACGUGUUGUGACCGGUACUUCUCGUUCACUGCGGUUUCCAAUUUUGGCCAAAUAAAUGGAACAAAAUCUUACAUUUGUGUGAUAUCACGGAGUGCGAGUAAUGGAUUAAUUGGAUUGAUUGGAUAUAAAUGCCAUACAUCUGAUUAUCUUUGUUUUAUAAGUAAUUUUCAAAUUCAUAUUUUUUUAACAGAAAUAUGAUUGAAUUAUGCAGCUACAUAUGUUCAAUCAAUUUAAUUUUUUUAUUAAUGAUUUAGUCAACGAGACGUAAAGAAUAUAUAGUUCUAAUCACAAUAAAAUUAAUAUAUUAUCAAUCAAGUUAUUAAUCUAAAACUGCACCGACGUAUAUAUACCGGAUGAUAAAAAUGGUACACAAUGACAUAACUCUACUAGAAAAAUGAAAUUGGGACAAUUGAAAUGAGAGAGACAAUUGACGUGGAAAUUGGGAGUCAGAUAACAAAGGAAAAAAUUGAUUCCACCAUUGAGAAAGGAAAGGAUAAGUAUCUGUAUCUCCGCCCACGUCAACACCACCUCGCAACCGUUUACUUUGAACCAUUCGGCUUGAAACCUCCACCACCCACCACCAACACCAAGAUUCCAAUUCCAAUUUCCGAAAAACCAAAACCUACUAAACAAACACCAAGACACCCUCAAUCCCAGCCAUUUCCUUCUCUUACUUAUGAUAUAAACAAAUCAAGCUGCUCCAUUUGGGUUCGUAUUCGGCUCGCUAAAAACUUGAGUUUGGUUUGUUAUGUAUGUUGGGCAAAACUUAGCCUAUGUUUGGUAAUGCUUAAAAUCAAUUUUUUUUAAGUUUGUUACUAAAAAAAAAAAAAAGAAUAUUUGGCUUUUUUGUUUUUUUGAUUUUACUUUAGUUAAAAAUAAAUAAAAAAAACAAAAACAAAAACGCAAAAAAGUCAACUCUAAUUGAUUUUUUGCUUAUAAAUUUAAAAAAAGUCAGCCAAAAAAUUAGUACCAAACGGAGCCCUUAGAAGGCAACUUUUAUAUUUUUUUUGUCUUAAAAAUUGUAUCAGACUUUUUGGCACGACUCUUACUUGUACUUGUGGACUAAAAACAAAUUACAAAAACUAAAAAAAACUCAUCUUGAAAGUUCUAUUUUUAAUUUUUUUAAUUUUUUUAAAAUAAAUAAUUAUAACAUAAGUUCAGCUAUACCAAACACUCUAAUUACAUAAAUAAAUUAAGUUCGAAUAUGAAUUUUAAAUUUGUUAAGAUUUCAAAUCGGACUUUAAACAAUUUAUUAUGACUUGAAAAUCUUACAAUAUUUUUAAAAAAUUCACCUAUUUGGCCCGGCUUGAUCAAAUCGAUUCAAGUAAUAAACAAAUCUAAGCUUGAAAAUAAUUUAAAAGUAAGUUGUCAAACCGAGUCAGCUCGUUAGAGUCGUCUAUCACCGCUGCCUCUGAUUCCACAGCUAACAGCUUCACUACAGCAACUCGCACUUCAACCCCCAUCACACGGCUUCCCACAUCUCUCUCUCUCUCUAUUUUUUUUAAACCCUUUCCCACGAAUUAAAAGCCCCACUUUACCAGCAACUCCAAGUCUUCUCUCUCACUCCACAAUUUACCAGCUUCCAACAACUGCAGAGACAUUUUUGUUAGAGAGAGACUGAGAGGAAACUGG
rnacentral:lncRNA from 1 species